GCCAGGAGGCAUGAAAGCACUGAAGCAAAUGCUGCCGUGCACUGGGCCCGGAGACAUCAGCUCCCAGCACGUCCCUGGCGGUGGAUGUGUGCACGCUCUGUGUCUGUCAGUGAUUGCUCCAAAGGCUUUGUAGUCAGCUGUGCGUGGCUGUUUUCUUUUUAGGGCGUGGGAACAGAGGGCAACUCGCUGAUGGGAGUGAUGGUGUCCUGCUCGGAAGUGGAUGUGCUGGGUGGCAGAAGAGGAUUCGUGGCCGAGUGUGGAAAAUCUCUCUGCUCGUUCCUGAAGCCCAUAGGAAGGUGGAGCCGCUGAAAUACAGCAAGGUGGCCGCAGCUGCCUCUGUGACCUGGCAGAGAGCACAGAUGUGCAUCCAAAGCACCGUGUCCCUGCUCUCCGGCUGCCUGAAGAAUGGCGAGAACGUUGCCAUUGUCCUAAAGGGCAUCGGAGU
rnacentral:lncRNA from 7 species